rnacentral:lncRNA from 1 species
UAGAUAGGAAGAUCUGGAGGACGCGAAUUAGGGCAGAAGGCUAGGGCCAGUUUGGGUCGCUAGUGUAGGGAAUUACUUGGUGGGGGUAUUAUUCUUGUUAUGAUACCUUGUUUCAUGCUUUAUUACGAAUCUGUUUACUUUUCUCUGUUUUCUAUUACUUGUGGGUGUCGUAUUUAUGUUAUGCCAUCUUGUUCCAUGCUUUACUAUGUAUUUGUGUAGUAUUCUGUGUAUCGAGCCGGG